rnacentral:rRNA from 1 species
UACGGAGGGUGCAAGCGUUAUCCGGAUUCACUGGGUUUAAAGGGUGUGUAGGCGGGUAUUUAAGUCAGUGGUGAAAUCUCCGGGCUCAACCUGGAAACUGCCAUUGAUACUAUUUAUCUUGAAUUCUGUUGAGGUAGGCGGAAUAUAUCAUGUAGCGGUGAAAUGCAUAGAUAUGAUAUAGAACACCGAUUGCGAAGGCAGCUUACUAAACAGAUAUUGACGCUGAGGCACGAAAGCGUGGGGAUCAAACAGG